CUUUUUCAGACAGUCUAUGUUUUAGACCUGUUUUAUGACUCCAGUGGCGGAUGUAUGUAACAGCAGCAUACUGAAUGAAGAGGAAAUGCUCUAUCGUUUGCAAUAAUCGCCAAGACACGAUCUGCGAUAAUGGCUACCAAUCACUCUUGUCUACCCUGCACUUUUGUUGCGAUAUCUGGAGACAACUUCUAUUUUCAAGUUAACGACGAUGAAACAGACUGUCAGUUCAUCGUUCAACCGUUCAACGAGACCCCGGACUCCCCCCACUCUGAGGCUAGAGGAAGGGCCGUCACCCUGGCUGUUAGGGAGGAGAGCAAGUACAAGGUGGUGUCCUGUCGGGAGGGCAGCAACGACAUCAAGGUGGAGAUCAUGAAUAAACUUCCAGAGACAGUCGGCGACACUGACUGCUGGUUCUUGUUCUACAUGAAGGACUGUAUUGGGAGGAGUGGGCACUACCUGUUCGUGUCCGCUGCCAAGCCGAAAUUCGCCCUGGCCAUCGAACCGGAACAAGGGACUACCCGAAUAAACAAACUAGUGUUGCGACAAUUAGAUGAUGAGGUGGACGAGGGCUGCCACAUUGCAGUGCCUCCAGGGCGU
ensembl:lncRNA